CAAAGGGUAGUAUAACAAAUACCUUUUGUUUACACCAAAAAAUUGGCUUAUAGCCCCCUUUGACCA
rnacentral:tRNA from 1 species